UAUCUCAAUAUGACACUUAACAACAAACACCACUUGGAUUAAAACAUUUUAUUAUUCCUUGUCUUCACAAUGUAAGUAGAACGCUCCAUUCACGUUCGGCUGUUAAUUCUUUAUGCUAAGCAUAAUUGACCGCUGUCAAGGAUAGUGGCCUUUUUGCCACUGAUUCACAUCUACAGACAGUUGUUCAGCUGCUAAAGAAUGUAUUCAAGUUCAGUGAGUUUGGUGAAGUUUGUUUCUCAUCAUUUGCCAAUGAAAACAGUAAAAAAAUACAUUUAAAGACCCAUCAGGUGAAGUGUCUUCUCUUAUGUUAGGUAGCCGUAUAAUAAGCGGGGUCCGGGUCGCCCUGUUUGGGCUUAUUUUUUCGAUAAUGACUGGCAUUCUAUACAUUAACCCUUAGACAGUAGAGCCCUUUGAAGACUCCAUCGAUAAUAUCAAAUAUCAAGUAUAACUUGUUUUUCAUGUUGUCACCAUGUUGGUCUUGAGGAUGGACACACAUACACCUUUGUACCUGUGCUGUACCUGACAAAUGUUAUACAAGAUAUGCCAUACCACAACUUCUGACCACACCACUUCAUCUGAGUCAUCAUCUGAGUCCUCUUCCACCAGUAAUUCAUCUUCCUCUUCUUCCUUCAAUUCAUUCAUUGUCAUCAGACGAUGAAAGUCAUAAGGCGUUACAAAAAAAAAGCAUACAAGGAAAGACAAAAGGCAUCGGAAGGAAAAGAAGUCAGCAAAAGCAAGGCAUCGCAAAAAGCACAAGAAGGAACAGAAGUCCGCAAAACCUGAAUGUGGACAAAGAGCUUCCAGUCCAAAAGACAUCGUUGCAAGGUACAAGAAGGUUCUGCGGGCUUACAACCGUGGAAA